GCCGGGGUGGCGGAGUGGUUAACGCGCUGGUCUCGAGAACCAGUGAGCCUUGAGGCUCGCAGGGGUUCGAAUCCCUUCCCCGGCG
rnacentral:tRNA from 2 species